GCUUACGGCCAUACCACCCUGAAUGCGCCCAAUCUCUUCUGAUCUCGGAAGCUUAUCAGGGUCAGGCCUGGUUAGUACUUGGAUGGGAGACCGCCUGGGAAUACCAGGUCCUGUAAGCU
rnacentral:rRNA from 1 species